rnacentral:rRNA from 1 species
GAAGGGGGCUAGCGUUGCUCGGAAUCACUGGGGCGUAAAGGGGCGCGUAGGCGGCUGAUUUAGUCGAGGGUGAAAGCCUGUGGCUCAACCACAGAAUUGCCUUCGAUACUGGUUGGCUUGAGACCGGAAGAGGACAGCGGAACUGCGAGUGUAGAGGUGAAAUUCGUAGAUAUUCGCAAGAACACCAGUGGCGAAGGCGGCUGUCUGGUCCGGUUCUGACGCUGAGGCGCGAAAGCGUGGGGAGCAAACAGGAUUAGAUACCCUGGUAGUCCACGCUGUAAACGAUGAAUGCUAGCCGUUGGUCUGCAUGCAGGUCAGUGGCGCCGCUAACGCAUUAAGCAUUCCGCCUGGGGAGUACGGUCGCAAAGAUUA